GCCGGGGUGGUGUAGUGGUAUUAACAUUGCAGAGCCCCCGGGGCCUUAUACCUAGCGGGUGGAGUGCAGAUUCUGGGUUCGAGUCCCAGUCCCGGCA
rnacentral:tRNA from 1 species